AUUGAACGCUGGCGGCAUGCCUUACACAUGCAAGUCGAACGGUAACAGGUCUUCGGAUGCUGACGAGUGGCGAACGGGUGAGUAAUACAUCGGAACGUGCCUAGUAGUGGGGGAUAACUACUCGAAAGAGUGGCUAAUACCGCAUGAGAUCUACGGAUGAAAGCAGGGGAUCGCAAGACCUUGUGCUACUAGAGCGGCCGAUGGCAGGUUAGGUAGUUGGUGGGAUAAAAGCUUACCAAGCCGACGAUCUGUAGCUGGUCUGAGAGGACGAUCAGCCACACUGGGACUGAGACACGGCCCAGACUCCUACGGGAGGCAGCAGUGGGGAAUGUUGGACAAUGGGCGCAAGCCUGAUCCAGCAAUGCCGCGUGCAGGAUGAAGGCCUUCGGGUUGUAAACUGCUUUUGUACGGAACGAAAAGCCCUGGGUUAAUACCCUGGGGUCAUGACGGUACCGUAAGAAUAAGCACCGGCUAACUACGUGCCAGCAGCCGCCGCAGUAA
rnacentral:rRNA from 1 species